rnacentral:rRNA from 1 species
GACGAACGCUGGCGGCGUGCUUAACACAUGCAAGUCGAACGGAAAGGCCCUGCUUUUGUGGGGUGCUCGAGUGGCGAACGGGUGAGUAACACGUGAGUAACCUGCCCUUGACUUUGGGAUAACUUCAGGAAACUGGGGCUAAUACCGGAUAGGAGCUCCUGCUGCAUGGUGGGGGUUGGAAAGUUUCGGCGGUUGGGGAUGGACUCGCGGCUUAUCAGCUUGUUGGUGGGGUAGUGGCUUACCAAGGCUUUGACGGGUAGCCGGCCUGAGAGGGUGACCGGCCACAUUGGGACUGAGGUACGGCCCAGAUUCCUACGGGAGGCAGCGGUGGGGAAUCUUGCACAAUGGGCGGAAGCCUGAUGCAGCAACGCCGCGUGCGGGAUGACGGCCUUCGGGUUGUGAACCGCUUUCGCCUGUGACGAAGCGUGAGUGACGGUAAUGGGUAAAGAAGCACCGGCUAACUACGUG